GGAUUUUCAAGCAGAAGGACCUCUGCUCCUUGUUGCAGACUGCGAGGGAGCAGGAAGCAGAGGCAUGCACUACCAGAUAACUAGCAGACAGCCUGGGCCUGCGGUGAGGCUGUGACAUAUUUCAUCAUCUCACCACAUAUUUUCGAAAGCUGCAUCUCUGCAACCUGUUACUUGCCAGUGGCGUCUGCAAAACUCCAGCUAUGACUCCCGCCCCCUUGUCGUAUUCACCUGAGAUGCAAUAGGAUUGCCACUGGAGGCGUGGCUUAACAGUACAGAAAGUGCAAAUGAAGUUACUGGUCAGACAGCCCAGCUCAUAAGAACCCAAGUGGCUUGGAACAUCGGAAUUUCUCUGCGAACCCAACAUAUAUAUAUAUAUAUAUAUAUAUAUAUAUAUAUAUAUAUUUAAAAAGUAUUGUUUUCAUUUCAACACUUGAAUAAAUGAAUG